rnacentral:rRNA from 1 species
UACGAAGGGUGCAAGCGUUACUCGGAAUUACUGGGCGUAAAGCGUGCGCAGGCGGUUUUGUAAGUCAGAUGUGAAAUCCCCGGGCUUAACCUGGGAACUGCGUUUGAAACUACAAGGCUAGAGUGUAGCAGAGGGGGGUGGAAUUCCACGUGUAGCAGUGAAAUGCGUAGAGAUGUGGAGGAACACCGAUGGCGAAGGCAGCCCCCUGGGUUAACACUGACGCUCAGGCACGAAAGCGUGGGGAGCAAACAGG